rnacentral:rRNA from 1 species
GACGAACGCUGGCGGCGUGCCUAAUACAUGCAAGUCGAGCGCAGGAAGUCAUCCGAACCCUUCGGGGGGACGUUGACGGAAUGAGCGGCGGACGGGUGAGUAACACGUAAAGAACCUGCCCUCAGGUCUGGGAUAACCACGAGAAAUCGGGGCUAAUACCGGAUGGGUCAUCGGACCGCAUGGUCCGAGGAUGAAAGGCGCUUCGGCGUCGCCUGGGGAUGGCUUUGCGGUGCAUUAGCUAGUUGGUGGGGUAACGGCCCACCAAGGCGACGAUGCAUAGCCGACCUGAGAGGGUGAUCGGCCACACUGGGACUGAGACACGGCCCAGACUCCUACGGGAGGCAGCAGUAGGGAAUCUUCCACAAUGGACGAAAGUCUGAUGGAGCAACGCCGCGUGAACGAUGAAGGCCCUCGGGUCGUAAAGUUCUGUUGUAAGGGAAGAACAAGUGCCGCAGGCAAUGGCGGCCACCCUUGAACGGUA